rnacentral:rRNA from 1 species
GUAAGGAAUAUUGGUCAAUGGACGAAAGUCUGAACCAGCCAUGCCGCGUGGAGGAUGAAGGUCCUCUGGAUUGUAAACUUCUUUUAUAUGGGACGAAAAUGGGGCUUUCUAGCUCAACUGACGGUACCAUAUGAAUAAGCACCGGCUAACUCCGUGCCAGCAGCCGCGGUAAUACGGAGGGUGCAAGCGUUAUCCGGAUUCACUGGGUUUAAAGGGUGCGUAGGUGGAUUGGUAAGUCAGAGGUGACAUCUCCGGGCUCAAAUCGGAAACUGCCAUUGAUACUAGCAAUCUUGAAUAUUGUGGAGGUUAGCGGAAUAUGUCAUGUAGCGGUGAAAUGCUUAGAUAUGACAUAGAACACCAAUUGCGAAGGCAGCUGGCUACACAUAUAUUGACACUGAGGCACGAAAGCGUGGGGAUCAAACAGGAUUAGAAACCCGAGUAGUCC